rnacentral:rRNA from 1 species
GACGAACGCUGGCGGCAGGCCUAACACAUGCAAGUCGAGCGAAGCCUUCGGGCUUAGCGGCGGACGGGUGAGUAACGCGUGGGAACGUGCCCUUUGGUACGGAAUAGCCCCGGGAAACUGGGAGUAAUACCGUAUGUGGUCGAGAGACGAAAGAUUUAUCGCCAAAGGAUCGACCCGCGUUGGAUUAGGUAGUUGGUGGGGUAAUGGCCUACCAAGCCGACGAUCCAUAGCUGGUUUGCGAGGAUGAUCAGCCACACUGGGACUGAGACACGGCCCAGACUCCUACGGGAGGCAGCAGUGGGGAAUCUUAGACAAUGGGGGAAACCCUGAUCUAGCCAUGCCGCGUGAUCGAUGAAGGCCUUAGGGUUGUAAAGAUCUUUCAGUGGGGAAGAUAAUGACUGUACCCACAGAAGAAGCCCCGGCUAACUCCGUGCCAGCAGCCGCAGUAAAAC